UACGAAGGGGGCUAGCGUUGCUCGGAAUUACUGGGCGUAAAGCGCACGUAGGCGGCUUUCUAAGUCGGGGGUGAAAUCCUGGAGCUCAACUCCAGAACUGCCUUCGAUACUGGAGAGCUCGAGUCCGGGAGAGGUGAGUGGAACUGCGAGUGUAGAGGUGAAAUUCGUAGAAUAUUCGCAAGAACACCAGUGGCGAAAGGCGGCUCACUGGCCCGGUACUGACGCUGAGGUGCGAAAGCGUGGGGAGCAAACAGG
rnacentral:rRNA from 1 species